CGUGUGUCAUUUUAAUACAAAGUUAUCUCCUGCAUUUCCAUCAGCAGCCAGUGAGCAGCUGAAAGCCCAGUCAUUCUCCUUUUUUUCCGCAUUGGCUAAGACGUUAAAAUAUUUAAACUUGGGAUCAGUGCCAAACAGUCUGGAGUCCUGAUCCAAGCCAGCCUCGCCCUCCCUGGCCUGCUGUGUGAGAUCAUCCUUAAAGGGAC